rnacentral:rRNA from 1 species
CACGUAGGGUGCGAGCGUUGUCCGGAAUUAUUGGGCGUAAAGAGCGUGUAGGCGGCUUGUUAAGUCUUGCGUGAAAUCUCGGGGCUCAACCCCGAGCGGUCGUGAGAAACUGGCAGGCUAGAGUGCGGGAGAGGAGAGUGGAAUUCCUGAUGUAGCGGUGAAAUGCGCAGAUAUCAGGAAGAACACCCGUGGCGAAGGCGGCUCUCUGGAACGCAACUGACGCUGAGACGCGAAAGCGUGGGGAGCAAACAGG